UGGUAAAAUAGUAAGAACAUAUGGUGAAUGCCUUGGAAAAUGGAGCCGAAAAAGGACGUGAUUACCUGCGAAAAGUCUGGGGGAGCUGGAAGUAAGCUGCGAUCCCGGAAUGUCCGAAUGGGGAAACCUAACAUGAUUUAUCUCAUGUUAUCUAUAAGUGAAUACAUAGCUUAUAAGAAGGGAACCUAGGGAACUGAAACAUCUUAGUACCUAGAGGAAAAGAAAAUAAUAAUGAUUCAGUUAGUAGUGGCGAGCGAACACGGAAAAGGCCAAACCGUACUACUGGGCGGGGUUGUAGCACUUUUGUUAGAGUUACAAAGUUAUUGUAUAGUAGAAUCUAUUGGGAAGUAGCGUCAUAGAGGGUGAUACCCCCGUAUACAAACUGCAAUAACCUCGAGACAGGAUCCUGAGUACGGCGAAACAUGUGAAAUUUUGUCGGAAUCUGCCAAGACCACUUGGUAAGCCUAAAUACUACCAUUUUACCGAUAGUGAACCAGUACCGUGAGGGAAAGGUGAAAAGCACCCCGAGAGGGGAGUGAAAGAGAUCCUGAAACCAUAUGCACACA
rnacentral:rRNA from 1 species